UUGACCUCGGAUCAGGUAGGAGUUACCCGCUGAACUUAAGCAUAUCAAUAAGCGGAGGAAAAGAAACCAACCGGGAUUGCCUCAGUAACGGCGAGUGAAGCGGCAAAAGCUCAAAUUUGAAAUCUGGCCCCUUUGGGGUCCGAGUUGUAAUUUGGAGAGGAUGCUUCGGGUGCGGCCCCUGUCUAAGUGCCCUGGAACGGGCCGUCAUAGAGGGUGAGAAUCCCGUCUGGGAUGGGCGGCCGUGCCCGUGUGAAGCUCCUUCGACGAGUCGAGUUGUUUGGGAAUGCAGCUCUAAGCGGGUGGUAAAUUUCAUCUAAAGCUAAAUACUGGCCGGAGACCGAUAGCGCACAAGUAGAGUGAUCGAAAGAUGAAAAGCACUUUGAAAAGAGAGUUAAACAGCACGUGAAAUUGUUGAAAGGGAAGCGUUGGCCACCAGACGCGCCCGAGGGGGUUCAGCCGGCACUUGUGCCGGUGCACUCCCCCCCGGGUGGGCCAGCAUCGGUUUGGGCGGUCGCUGAAAGGCUCCAGGAAUGUAGCACCCUCCGGGGUGCCUUAUAGCCUGGGGUGUCAUGCGGCCCGCCUGGACCGAGGCCCGCGCUUCGGCGAGGAUGC
rnacentral:rRNA from 1 species